rnacentral:hammerhead_ribozyme from 1 species
GUCCCGCUGACGAGUCCCAAAUAGGAUGAAACGCGCCUCCUGAAC